ACAGCUCUAACUACUGUCUUGUAAUUUUAUUUCAUUCAGCUGCUGUGGGCUUAUAUGGCCACUGAAAGGAAUGCAGUCCUGGCCGAGUACUUUUCCAGUGAAAAAAUGUUAAUUUGUUCCAUGCCAUCACCAUUUUUUCAUGUACCUAUGUUCAAAGUCAACUUUCACUGAUCACCCCAGAGAGAGAGAAUUUGUAUAUACACUGCAUUAAAUCAUGUUUGGUAGCAACCUGUGAACCGUGCUGAUAAAAGAAGAAUUGACCUAAACGACUCAACCUCAAUCUAAUGAGAUCAAAAAACAUCAGCAAUAUUAAACCUCACUCUUCUCCCUGGAGGGAUUGUGUUUUUGCAGAAGGCCAAAGAACACAUGGGCAGGAAACAGCUCUUAGGAUGUUGCUCAUUGCCUGUGACCAAGAUCACCCCAUUUAGCCUGAA
rnacentral:lncRNA from 1 species